rnacentral:rRNA from 1 species
AUGUCGAGCUCCGGCGGUUUCAUGGCGUUCGAGAUCAACUCGUCGCUGCACAACUACCUGGCCGUCGGCCAGGGCGCCGUCUACUCGGAGGUCGUCUCCGCCGGCGGCCACUGCUGGAGGCUGGCCUGCUACCCGCACGGCGACCCCAGCCACGUCCCCGCGCCCUUCCGCUUCAUCUCCGUCUACCUCGAGCUCGUCGGCAAGCCGCCCAGCCACGCCGACGCCUACCCCUUCAUGGUCACCUUCACCGCCUUCGCCGCGCACGGCGACGGCGCGCCGCCGUCCCACCACGCGGAGUGCGGGCACGUCUACACGCGGGGCAACCACGGCCUGAAGCGGCCGUGCGGGUUCCCGGAGUUCAUCGGCGACUACACCGACAUCCCCAUCGAGCGUGGCCUGACGGUCAUGUGGAGGGUGAGGGUCACCCGGGAGAAGCCCGGCGGCCCCGAGAUCGGCCACCAGCUCGGCCGGCUGCUGGACCCAGGGCUCGCCACCUGGACCGACGUCUCCUUCGUGGUCGCCGGCGAGACCUUCCGCGCCCACCGCGCCCUCCUCGCCGCCCGCUCCCCGGUCUUCGAGGCGCAGCUCUUCGGCGCCAUGCUCGAGUCCUCCUCCGCCUCCAUCACCCUGGAGGACAUCGAGCCCGGCACCUUCGAAACCAUGCUCCGGUUCAUCUACACCGACGCGCUCCCCGACGACCCCCCGGACCUCGAGGCGCUCCGGCGCCUCCUUGUGGCGGCGGACAGGUUCGCGCUCGACGGCCUCAAGCGGGAGUGCGCCGAGAGACUACUCGGCAGCAUGUCGACGGACACCGUCGUCGACAUGCUGCGCUGGGCCUGCACGUACAACUGCGCCGAGCUCCGGGAAGAGUGCGUCGACUUCGUGGCGGCGCGCCGGAACUUCAACGAGGUGGUGCUCACCGUCGGCUUCAUGGAGCUGGUGCUCGAGUCGCCGUCCAUCCUCGACGACGUCAAGGAGAGCGCCGCGAGGCAGCAGCGCGCCAAGGAGUCUCUUGGCGAUUCAGACCUACCUAUUCGUAGGGGCAUGGCAUCGCCAUAUUAUGGAUAUUAUUAUUACCAGCCUGCUGCUGCUUGA